AUUGAACGCCGGCGGCAGGCUUAACACAUGCAAGUCGAGCGGAGAUGAGGUGCUUGCACCUUAUCUUAGCGGCGGACGGGUGAGUAAUGCUUAGGAAUCUGCCUAUUAGUGGGGGACAACAUUCCGAAAGGAAUGCUAAUACCGCAUACGUCCUACGGGAGAAAGCAGGGGAUCUUCGGACCUUGCGCUAAUAGAUGAGCCUAAGUCGGAUUAGCUAGUUGGUGGGGUAAAGGCCUACCAAGGCGGCGAUCUGUAGCGGGUCUGAGAGGAUGAUCCGCCACACUGGGACCGAGACACGGCCCAGACUCCUACGGGAGGCAGCAGUGGGGAAUAUUGGACAAUGGGCGGAAGCCUGAUCCAGCCAUGCCGCGUGUGUGAAGAAGGCCUUUUGGUUGUAAAGCACUUUAAGCGAGGAGGAGGCUACUUAGAUUAACACUCUGGGAUAGUGGACGUUACUCGCAGAAUAAGCACCGGCUAACUCUGUGCCAGCCGCCGCAGUAA
rnacentral:rRNA from 1 species